rnacentral:rRNA from 1 species
AGCAGCCGCGGUAAUUCCAGCUCCAAUAGCGUAUAUUAAAGUUGUUGCAGUUAAAAAGCUCGUAGUUGAAUUUCGGGAUCAAUAUAACGGUCAUGCCGUUGGUAUGCACUGUUAUAAUUGAUUUCUCACCUUCUAAAGAACCGUAAUGCCAUUAAUUUGGUGUCACGGGGAAUUAGGACUGUUACCUUGAAAAAAUUAGAGUGUUUAAAGCAGGCUCACGCUUGAAUACAUUAGCAUGGAAUAAUGAAAUAGGACAUCCGAUUCUAUUUUGUUGGUUUCUAGGAUCGAUGUAAUGAUUAAUAGGGAUAGUUGGGGGCAUUAGUAUUCAAUUGUCAGAGGUGAAAUUCUUGGAUUUAUUGAAGACUAACUACUGCGAAAGCAUUUGCCAAGGAUGUUUUCAUUAAUCAAGAACGAAAGUUAGGGGAUCGAAGACGAUCAGAUACCGUCGUA